rnacentral:lncRNA from 1 species
CGCAGGGGCUCCGGCUCUCUGCGGUGCACAUUUACCUCGAAGCCUAGGAACCCGGUGGGAGGCAGGAGCCAGAGACCGCUCAGUUCACACCAUCCCAAGUCUCAAGAGCCAAGGAUAUGAAGAAUAAGCUGGCCAUCUUCAGGCGGCGGAAUGAAUCUCCUGGGGCCCAGCCAGCCGGCAAGGCAGACAAGACAACCAAGUCCUUCAAGCCUACCUCCGAGGAAGCCCUCAAGUGGAGCGAGUCCCUGGAAAAGCUGCUGCUUCAUAAAUAUGGCUUAGAAGUGUUCCAGGCCUUUCUUCGCACAGAGUUCAGUGAGGAGAACCUGGAGUUUUGGCUGGCUUGUGAGGAUUUCAAGAAGGUCAAAUCGCAGUCCAAGAUGGCAGCCAAAGCCAAGAAGAUCUUUGCUGAGUUCAUCGC